UGACAGUAGAUGGUAGACCAGGGUAAUAUAAUGACAGUAGAUGGUAGACCAGGGUAAUAUAAUGACAGUAGAGGGUAAUAUAAUGACAGUAGAUGGUAGACCAGGGUAAUAUAAUGACAGUAGAGGGUAGGCCAGGGUAAUAUAAUGACAGUAGAUUGUAGACCAGGGUAAUAUAAUGACAGUAGAUGGUAGAGCAGGGUAAUAUAAUGACAGUAGAUUGUAGACCAGGGUAAUAUAAUGACAGUAGAUGGUAGAGCAGGGUAAUAUAAUGACAGUAGAUGGUAGACCAGGGUAAUAUAAUGACAGUAGAGGGUAAUAUAAUGACAGUAGAUGGUAGACCAGGGUAAUAUAAUGACAGUAGAUGGUAGACCAGGGUAAUAUAAUGACAGUAGACGGUAGACCAGGGUAAUAUAAUG
ensembl:lncRNA